AGGAGGAACAGCCCCAGUGGCGGGGCCAGCUCUGGAGCCCUGGAGUCAGCCCCCGCAGGAAGUACUGAGCUCUCCGUCUGCAGGGCCUGGAGGCUCCGGGGCGGG
rfam:Canis lupus familiaris chromosome 18, whole genome shotgun sequence.